rnacentral:lncRNA from 1 species
GCUAAUGCUAUAAAACAGGUCUGGUAGCUUGCCCAGUCGUCACAAUGUCCGCGUAGAGAAAAGCAACAGGACUGUCACUACACGUGGAAAUUCAGGUGAACAUGCGGGAAUGUGACAGCUUAUAGGAGAAGCCGACAAUGAACAAGGAGAGUAAACGGUCACCUGCCUUAGACCGGACAAACCAGAGGAGGCAGAAGAAUGGGCCCACUGAGCCUCACACACCAUCUUCAACCAACCUGGUGUUGCCAAAUCCACAUGUGUCCCAGCAGGCUCUCAGAGGGAGUGGCUCAAGCCCAAAGCUCCAGGGAUCCAGAGGUUUUGCGUCCAGGGGUCGUGGUUACAGCAGUAGUCUACCUGUCAGUGGCACCAGUGAAAGUCUCCUGCAGAGAGACAGAUCUACAGGGGAACCACAGGGAAAGAACACAAAGAGGAAUGAUUCUCAAGGAAGAACCACAGGAAGAAACUCAGUGGAUUCACAGAGAAAAGGUUUCAGAGGCGCCAGGUCAGCCCCAAGCUCUGCAGGGAAGCCAAAAUCAGAACAGACUCUCUCAGCCCUGUUUGAGGUGAAAAUGGCUGAUUUCCCGGAGUUAUCAGGUGUUUCAUCGAGCAAAACAGCCCCUCCUGUUUCCCAGACGGACUGCUGGGGUCCAAGUCCACCAUCCACAAACCCCAAAACUCCUCAACUGACAUCUUCCUGGAAGGUAAUUUCAGGGAACCAUGAAAUGUGA